rnacentral:rRNA from 1 species
UCUCGUGACUGCGUGCCUUUUGAAGAAUGAGCCUGCGAGUUUGCGGUGUGUUGCGAGGUUAACCCGGGUGGGGUAGCCGUAGCGAAAGCGAGUCCGAACAGGGCGCUAUCAGUAGCACGCUCAAGACCCGAAGCGGAGUGAUCUAGCCAUGGGCAGGUUGAAGCGGAGGUAAGACUUCGUGGAGGACCGAACCCACCAGGUUGAAAACCUGGGGGAUGACCUGUGGUUAGGGGUGAAAGGCCAAUCAAACUCCGUGAUAGCUGGUUCUCCCCGAAAUGCAUUUAGGUGCAGCGUCGUGUGUUUCUUGCCGGAGGUAGAGCACUGGAUAGGCGAUGGCUACCGGGUUACUGACCUUAGCCAAACUCCGAAUGCCGGUAAGUGAGAGCGCGGCAGUGAGACUGUGGGGGAUAAGCUCCAUGGUCGAGAGGGAAACAGCCCAGAGCAUCGACUAAGGCCCCUAAGCGUACGCUAAGUGGGAAAGGAUGUGGAGUCGCAGAGACAACCAGGAGGUUGGCUUAGAAGCAGCCACCCUUGAAAGAGUGCGUAAUAGCUCACUGGUCUAGUGAUUCCGCGCCGACAAUGUAGCGGGGCUCAAGCGUACCGCCGAAGUCGUGUCAUUGCAGCAGAUAGCCCCAACGGGUGCUGUGAUGGGUAGGGGAGCGUCGUCUGCCGGGUGAAGCGGCACUGGAAGGUAGUCGUGGACGGUUGACGAGUGAGAAUGCAGGCAUGAGUAGCGAUUCACACGUGAGAAACGUGUGCGCCGAUUGACUAAGGUUCCUGGGUCAAGCUGAUCUGCCCAGGGUAAGUCGGGACCUAAGGCGAGGCCGACAGGCGUAGUCGAUGGAUAACCGGUUGAUAUUCCGGUACCCGCUGUGAAGCGUCAAACAUCGAAUCCAGUGAUGCUAAGCCCGUGAAGCCGCCGGCUGAGUCUUCGGACGAGGUCGGAGUGGUGGAGCCGGUGACCCGAGCUGGUAGUAGGUGAGUGAUGGGGUGACGCAGGAAGGUAGUCCAUCCCGGGCGGUGGUUGUCCCGGGGUAAGGGUGUAGCCCGAGUGGUAGGCAAAUCCGCCACUCACGCAGGGUGAGACCUGAUGCCGAGCCGAUUGUGGUGAAGUGGAUGAUCCUAUGCUGUCGAGAAAAGCCUCUAGCGAGUUUCAUGGCGGCCCGUACCCUAAACCGACUCAGGUGGUCAGGUAGAGAAUACCGAGGCGUUCGGGUGAACUAUGGUUAAGGAACUCGGCAAAAUGCCCCCGUAACUUCGGGAGAAGGGGGGCCAGCUCUGGUGAGAGGACUUGCUCCUCGAGCUGGGGGUGGCCGCAGAGACCAGCGAGAAGCGACUGUUUACUAAAAACACAGGUCCGUGCGAAGCCGUAAGGCGAUGUAUACGGACUGACGCCUGCCCGGUGCUGGAACGUUAAGGGGACCGGUUAGCUCCAUUUCGGUGGGGCGAAGCUGAGAACUUAAGCGCCAGUAAACGGCGGUGGUAACUAUAACCAUCCUAAGGUAGCGAAAUUCCUUGUCGGGUAAGUUCCGACCUGCACGAAUGGCGUAACGACUUCUCGACUGUCUCAACCAUAGGCCCGGUGAAAUUGCACUACGAGUAAAGAUGCUCGUUUCGCGCAGCAGGACGGAAAGACCCCGGGACCUUUACUACAGUUUGAUAUUGGUGUUCGGUUCGGCUUGUGUAGGAUAGCUGGGAGACUGUGAAGCAUGGACGCCAGUUCGUGUGGAGUCGUCGUUGAAAUACCAGUCUGGUCGUGCUGGAUGUCUAACCUGGGUCCGUGAUCCGGAUCAGGGACAGUGUCUGAUGGGUAGUUUAACUGGGGCGGUUGCCUCCUAAAGGGUAACGGAGGCGCCCAAAGGUUCCCUCAGCCUGGUUGGCAAUCAGGUGUUGAGUGUAAGUGCACAAGGGAGCUUGACUGUGAGACCGACGGGUCGAGCAGGGACGAAAGUCGGGACUAGUGAUCCGGCGGUGGCUUGUGGAAGCGCCGUCGCUCAACGGAUAAAAGGUACCCCGGGGAUAACAGGCUGAUCUUCCCCAAGAGUCCAUAUCGACGGGAUGGUUUGGCACCUCGAUGUCGGCUCGUCGCAUCCUGGGGCUGGAGUCGGUCCCAAGGGUUGGGCUGUUCGCCCAUUAAAGCGGUACGCGAGCUGGGUUUAGAACGUCGUGAGACAGUUCGGUCCCUAUCCGCUGUGCGCGUAGGAGUCUUGAGAAGGGCUGUCCCUAGUACGAGAGGACCGGGACGGACGAACCUCUGGUGUGCCAGUUGUUCUGCCAAGGGCAUGGCUGGUUGGCUACGUUCGGGAGGGAUAACCGCUGAAAGCAUCUAAGCGGGAAGCCUGCUUCGAGAUGAGGACUCCCACCCACUUGAUGGGGUAAGGCUCCCAGUAGACGACUGGGUUGAUAGGCCGGAUCUGGAAGCCAGGUAACUGGUGGAGGUGACCGGUACUAAUAGGCCGAGGGCUUGUCCUC